CUGCGUUCCCUCGUUUCUAUUGGUGGAUUUCAGCACGAGCCUAAGAGGACAGAACAACAUCCCAUAAUAUCCAACUCGUGGAACGAACUGUAAAAUCAGGAGGAGAUGGCUUCUUCGAAGCUGAGAAAUAGAAAGCUUUCUCCAAAACAAGAGGCUGCAUAUUUUAUAUCGGCAUCUAAAGAUAAAGAUGGACUUUAUGUAAAAUAUAUAAAUUCAUAUAAAGGCCGUGGGGUAUUCAGCAAUGUCCAUUUUGAGAGGGGAGACUUUCUUCUGGAGUACAGAGGGCAACUCAUCAGCAGGCAUGAAUGUGAAAGCAGACAGAAAAUAUAUCAUGAUGCCCUCAAAGUGUUCAUGUUUGAA